AUUGAACGCUGGCGGCAGGCCUAACACAUGCAAGUCGAGCGGUUGAAGGGAGCUUGCUCCCUGAUUCAGCGGCGGACGGGUGAGUAAUGCCUAGGAAUCUGCCUAUUAGUGGGGGACAACGUUUCGAAAGGAACGCUAAUACCGCAUACGUCCUACGGGAGAAAGCAGGGGACCUUCGGGCCUUGCGCUAAUAGAUGAGCCUAGGUCGGAUUAGCUUGUUGGUGAGGUAAUGGCUCACCAAGGCGACGAUCCGUAACUGGUCUGAGAGGAUGAUCAGUCAAACUGGAACUGAGACACGGUCCAGACUCCUACGGGAGGCAGCAGUGGGGAAUAUUGGACAAUGGGCGAAAGCCUGAUCCAGCCAUGCCGCGUGUGUGAAGAAGGUCUUCGGAUUGUAAGGCACUUUAAGUUGGGAGGAAGGGUUGUAGAUUAAUACUCUGCAAUUUUGACGUUACCGACAGAAUAAGCACCGGCUAACUCUGUGCCAGCCGCCGCGGUAA
rnacentral:rRNA from 1 species